UGUACGCGUACCAUGUAUCAUUCAUCAUGCGGUGCUUCAUCGUGCGACUAAUAUCUGCGCAGAAGCAAGACGUUAAGUUGAUCUAACUUAAUACUGAAUCAUGUCCUUGGUAACUUUCUAAGAUUCCCAUACAAAGAGAACACAGCAUUCGGGAAGUGAAGGAGGCAGUUUUCAGGAAAGACCGAAAGACUGCCCACUAUGUACAGCCAAAAAUUUGACCCGAUUGUCCAAUCACCUCUCUUCGGUUCAUGGGAUGAGCAAGGACGAGAGAAAAAAAAUUCAUGCAAGACCAGAAAUGCCAAAGCCAAAGCAGAGAAAGAACCUUGAUGCACUGCCUAAAAUACAUAAGUACACCAUCUGGAGCCUUGCAAAACCUUUUCAAGGACAGGAAUUACAGAUCAACUAAGGCAUGAAGCAUCAGUAAGCUGGCCCAAACUAAAAAUGCUACGGGACGACUUGAUUCUUAUUUUGCUGACAAAUGGAGCCCACGAAGUGAUGUUGUCGCCAAGAUGCAAGUAGAUCAUGAGCAGAACGCCAAAAAUCAAGAUGGGAAGCAAGUGAUUGAGGCUGUCUCCCGGUAAGUGGAAAAGACUAGCAAACUACAAGGCAUAUAGUGUUUGAACCACGGCCCAGUACUAUGCCUGGAGGCAGAAGACAACUUAUAAUGUAGGAGCCAGGGAGACAGUCAGGAGGACCCUUCUUUAUGAAAAUGACGCAUUACCUCCUAGUCCUACCCCUAGACCAAGCAACUCAUCGGCCCCUUCCUGUUGUGUUGCCGCCUCCAUCAUAUCUACUGUAAGAAAUGACGAUGACCCAUCUUAUAUGCCACCAAGCCCACAAAGAGCAAACCUUUG